CCUUUCGGCGGGCGCGAGGCCGAGGGGGCGGGGCCACGCGGAAGAGGUACUGCUGACGGCAGGGGCGGGGCCACGCGGAGGAGACCGGGCUCGUGGCGGGGGCGGGGCCAGGCGGAGAAGGGUACACCUCCCUCCCCCUUUCCCGGGGCCACCGGCACCCCCGCGCGCAGGCUCCUGCUCCUGCUCCGGGCGCAGCGGCCCUGGGAGAGGGGGUGCAGGUGCCUUCUUGCUGAAAUGGACUCCUAAUCAUAAUUACUCAGCAUAGAUUGAUUUCCUAACCCGAAGCCUGCUAUCUCAGGUUUCUGGUUCAGCGGCAUGACUCAGACAUUUCUGAAGACAUUAUAUUAAGUUAAUUAGGUUUAUUUUGGAAGACAUAAGUCUGUAUGACUAGUUGGAAAACUAUUCUCUUUUACCAUUUGGCUUUUGUUCUUUUCGAUUUACAUCUGAAGGCUAAAAGACUUUUCCAUACACACUCCGGUAGGGAGUGCUGGUUGAUAAAAGUACACACUUAUUUAUAUUAUGUUUAUUUUUUUAAAAUUUUUAUUUUUAAGUAAUCGUUAUACCCAGCCUACAGCUUGAACUCAGAACCGUGAGACUGGGUCCCAUCGCUUUACCAGCUGAGCCACAGGUGCCCGAAACAAAUACCUAGUAGUUUCUACUGAAAAUUAACUUUUCUCUCUCCAUUGGUUUUGUUUCGUCUAACAGCAGUGUAUCUGGACACGAUGGUUCGACUGAACCGUUUCUCGACUUUGGGAGGGUGUGAAGGCAAUACUGAUUCAGUAGGAACUAGGCGGGUGGACUUUUAAGUUUUGGUCUUUCCUGGGCUAGUGCUGUCCCAUCAGCUACGUCAGCCACGCGAUCACGAGGGCGAAGAGCCCCUAAGCUCACCGCCAGUGUGAACACGUCCUGCCGCUCCGCCCUGUCGCUGUCCCGACAGUGUCUCUUGUGCAAGAUGCUAGCAGCCCGGCGUAGGCCGCAGGGCCCUGAGCUAUGACGUUCAGUAGGCCACAUGCAGCAAACGCGUUUCUGACUCCUGACAUUUCCAGUUUAUAAUGGGCUUGUUGAGAUUGAAUCCUAUUGUAAGUUGAGGAAGAUCCUCUGGCAACUCAUUCUAGCCGGCACUAAGCUCUCUUCUGCUCCUGUGGACAUUUCAUACAAGUGGAAUCUCGCAGUACGUGGCCUUGCGUGACUGGCUUCUUUCACUCAGCAUGAGCUCUCACUCGGCCAGAGUACAAGAGAAGAGUGCUCGAGCAAGACCAGCGGGCUUCUAGGCUUCUCCUGCGGCCUGCCUUGGUCACGUGGGUCAGUGAGCGCCUGACCACCUGCUCUCCAGCCUUCGCAGACUUGGUGUGGUCUUCUCUCCUGUCUGGGGACCCGCUCCUUCGCAUCCUGUAGUUGUCACUGAAGUUGGGUUCAGGACGGAGCAGAGGUCUUGCUGCUGCAGCCCUGGGCUCUAGGCAGCCUGCGCGCCCCCCCAGCCUGGGUUUGAGCUGCGACCCCCUUACCAUCUGAGUUACUCCUGCUAUA